rnacentral:pre_miRNA from 1 species
UUCAAGUAAUCCAGGAUAGGCUGUGCUUACUCUCUCUGGCCUGUUCUUGAUUACUUGGGCU